CCUACGGGAGGCUGCAGUGGGGAAUAUUGCACAAUGGGGGAAACCCUGAUGCAGCGACGCCGCGUGAGCGAUGAAGCGUCUCGGUGUGUAAAGCUCUGUCAGCAGGAACGACGAUGACGGUACCUGACGAAGAAGCCCCGGCUAACUACGUGCCAGCAGCCGCGGUAAUACGUAGGGGGCAAGCGUUAUCCGGAUUUACUGGGUGUAAAGGGAGCGUAGACGGUGGGGCAAGCCCGGAGUGAAAGGCCGGGGCCCAACCCCGGGACCGCUGUGGAAACUGGCAGGCUGGAGUGCGGGAGAGGUAGGCGGAAUUCCUAGUGUAGCGGUGAAAUGCGUAGAUAUUAGGAGGAACACCAGCGGCGAAGGCGGCUUGCUGGACCAUGACUGACGUUGAGGCUCGAAAGCGUGGGGAGCAAACAGGAUUAGAUACCCUGGUAGUC
rnacentral:rRNA from 1 species